CAGUCGCCACGGUAAUACGUAGGGUGCAAGCGUUAAUCGGAAUUACUAGGCGUAAAGCGUGCGCAGGCGGUUUGUUAAGACAGAUGUGAAAUCCCCGGGCUCAACCUGGGAACUGCAUUUGUGACUGGCAAGCUAGAGUGUGGCAGAGGGGGGUGGAAUUCCGCGUGUAGCAGUGAAAUGCGUAGAUAUGCGGAGGAACACCGAUGGCGAAGGCAGCCCCCUGGGCCAACACUGACGCUUAUGCACGAAAGCGUGGGGAGCAAACAGGAUUAGAUACCCCCGUAGUCCCUGUCUCUUAUAC
rnacentral:rRNA from 1 species